rnacentral:rRNA from 1 species
UGGGGAAUUUUGGACAAUGGGGGAAACCCUGAUCCAGCCAUCCCGCGUGUGCGAUGAAGGCCUUCGGGUUGUAAAGCACUUUUGGCAGGAAAGAAACGUCAUGGGUUAAUACCCGGGAAACUGACGGUACCUGCAGAAUAAGCAACGGCUAACUACGUGCCAGCAGCCGCGGUAAUACGUAGGGUGCAAGCGUUAAUCGGAAUUACUGGGCGUAAAGCGUGCGCAGGCGGUUCGGAAAGAAAGAUGUGAAAUCCCAGAGCUCAACUUUGGAACUGCAUUUUUAACUACCGGGCUAGAGUGUGUCAGAGGGAGGUGGAAUUCCGCGUGUAGCAGUGAAAUGCGUAGAUAUGCGGAGGAACACCGAUGGCGAAGGCAGCCUCCUGGGAUAACACUGACGCUCAUGCACGAAAGCGUGGGGAGCAAACAGG